UCCGACCUCAGAUCGGACGAGAUUACCCGCUGAAUUUAAGCAUAUAACUAAGCGGAGGAAAAGAAACUAACAAGG
rnacentral:rRNA from 1 species